rnacentral:rRNA from 1 species
AUACGUAGGGUGCAAGCGUUAAUCGGAAUUACUGGGCGUAAAGCGUGCGCAGGCGGUUUUUUAAGACAGUGGUGAAAUCCCCGGGCUCAACCUGGGAACUGCCAUUGUGACUGCAAGGCUGGAGUGCGGCAGAGGGGGAUGGAAUUCCGCGUGUAGCAGUGAAAUGCGUAGAUAUGCGGAGGAACACCGAUGGCGAAGGCAAUCCCCGGGGCCUGCACUGACGCUCAUGCACGAAAGCGUGGGGAGCAAACAGGAUUAGAUACCCUGGUAGUCCACGCCCUAAACGAUGUCAACUGGUUGUUGGGGAUUUAUUUUCUCAGUAACGAAGCUAACGCGUGAAGUUGACCGCCUGGGGAGUACGGCCGCAAGGUUAAAACUCAAAGGAAUUGACGGGG